UUGUAUGGUUAAGUGAAUAAGCGUGCACGGUGGAUGCCUAGGCAAUUAGAGGCGAUGAAGGACGUGGUAAUCUGCGAUAAGUCCAGGGGAGUUGAUAACAAGCGUUAUAUCCUGGAAUUUCCGAAUGGGGCAACCCGGCACAUAGUGUCAUCGUUAUGUGAAUACAUAGCAUAGCGAAGCGAACGAGGGGAACUGAAACAUCUAAGUACCCUUAGGAAAAGAAAUCAACCG
rnacentral:rRNA from 1 species